CAGAGGGUGCGAGCGUUGUCCGGAAUCACUGGGCGUAAAGGGCGCGUAGGCGGCUUUGCAAGCGUGCGGUGAAAGCUCGGGGCCUAACUCCGAGUCUGCCGUGCGAACUGUGAGGCUUGAGUCUGGUAGAGGUCGAUGGAAUUCCGGGUGUAGCGGUGGAAUGCGUAGAGAUCCGGAAGAACACCGGUGGCGAAGGCGGUCGACUGGGCCAGUACUGACGCUGAGGCGCGACAGCGUGGGGAGCAAACAGGAUUAGAUACCCUGGUAGUCCACGCCGUAAACGAUGGGCACUAGGUCCUUGGGGGAGCGACCCCUUGAGGGCCGGCGCUAACGCAUUAAGUGCCCCGCCUGGGGAGUACGGCCGCAAGGCUG
rnacentral:rRNA from 1 species